rnacentral:lncRNA from 1 species
UUCAACAUAAUAAAAUAGUAAAUAAAAAACAAAUAUAAAACAAUCCAAUAUUAUUUGUUUUCAUUUUGCAUGAUUUUUUUUUUUUUGCCUCAUUUUGUUUUUAUCCUUAUUGAAAGCAGGUCUUUUUUUAACUAAAUAUUUUUUUAGAAUCUUGAGAUUCUCAAGAAUUUCCAAAAGGGAAUAUCAAGAAAUAAAUUACUGAUUCAGGAAUUCCCAAAUUUUGAGAAAGCUAAAAGUUCAGGAAAACAUAAUCACUAAUAAAAAUGACAUAAUUAUGUUAUGGUUGGCAACUCUGUGAUAUAAAGAUCUGUAUUUUUAAUUUCUGGUCAACUUGCAGCCAUCAGUGAAUUCGGGAAAUGAAAAGAUGGCAGUGGUUUUGGAGCCAAUAAGGCUCAUACUUGAUGAUAGGUUAGGAACAGUCAUGUAUAAUAUAAACAUUUUAGGUGCAAACUUAAACAUAACACAUGACUACAUUGUUUUAAAUGAUCAGUUACAAUUCAAAAAUUGAACAUACAAAUGAAGUAUAGUGUUUAAAAAAAGAAAACAGCUGACAAUGUCCCAAGUUUGGCUCCAACAGGAAAUGAAUGAAAUGACCUUGGAUGUCAUAUCAUGUCUAUAGCACAAACAAGAUCAAUAUAAAGUGUGUCCAAAAUUAAAAGGCAAUAACUGCAAUAAAAUGAAGAUGGUAGUAAGCCAGAGGCAAAGCUUAUAUGUAUAAAGGCUUUUUUGUGCAUGUAAAAUAUAUUAAUGUAUGUCAUAUCCAUAUCAUGGUAGUGUACUUUCAAACAGAAUGUUCAAAAGCAGACAAAACAUUUAUUUGGAAAAGGAGGAUUAUUUGUGAUUGCAGAUUGUUCAAAAUGAGCAGUGUGCAAUGGAUAAGUUUUCUCAUAGUUGAAGAAUCCAGCUUUGUUGAGUCACUGUUGAUUGUCUGCAAUUUAUGGGAAUUACUGCUCUUCAUGCAAAACUGCAUAAGUGGUGGAGGUUUUUUAAAAUAAACCUAAUUAAUAUGCAAAAAA